AUUGAACGCUAGCUAAAGGCUUAAAACAUGCAAGUCGAGGGACCGGCACACGGGUGAGUAACACUUAUCAAACCCGCCCUUUACUCGGGGAUAGCCUUUCGAAAGAAAGAUUAAUACCCGAUGUAAAGGAUGGGGAUGCGUUCCAUUAGGUUGUUGGUGAGGUAAGGGCUCGCCAAGCCUUCGAUGGAUAGGGGUUCUGAGAGGAAGGUCCCCCACAUUGGAACUGAGACACGGUCCAAACUCCUACGGGAGGCAGCAGUGAGGAAUAUUGGUCAAUGGGCGUUAGCCUGAACCAGCCAAGUAGCGUGAAGGAUGAAGGCUUAUGGGUCGUAAACUUCUUUUAUAUAAGAAUAUGUAUUAUAUGAAUAAGGAUCGGCUAACUCCGUGCCAGCAGCCGCGGUAAUAC
rnacentral:rRNA from 1 species